rnacentral:tRNA from 1 species
CGCCGUCCUGGCCUACCUCGGGGACGGCGCCACCUCCCAGGGCGACGUGAACGAGGCGUUCGUCUGGGCGGGCGCGUUCAACGCGCCGGUGGUGU